UGUAAAGGAAGGAUGACUGCAGAGCCCUCAGAAAACUUACAAUCAUGGUGGAAAGUGACAGAGAAGCAAGCACAUAUUUACAUGGCCUGCAGGAGAGACAGCCAAGGGAGAAGAGAUACACACUUUCAAACAAACAGAUCUUGUGCACGGUGCAAGCUAUUGGUGAAUCUACCAUUCUGUGGUCUGGAGGACUGUGGACUUCUUCUCACAGCUCUACUAGGCAGUGCCCCAGUGGGGACAUUGUGAGGGCUCUGACCCCACGUUUUCCCUCUGCCCUGCCCUAGUAGAGGUUUUCCAUGAGGACUCUAUCACGGCAGCAGACUUCUUCCUGGAUAUCCACACAUUUCCAUACAUCCUCUGAAAUCUAUGUGGAGGAUCUCAAGCCUCAACAGUUGCCUCUGUGCACCCACAGGCACAACACCAAGUAGAAGCCAGCAAGGCUUAAGGCUUGCACCCUUUGAAGCAAUGGCCUGAGCUGUAACUUGCUCCCUUUUAGCCAUGGCUGGAGCUGGAGUGGCUGGGAUUUAGGGUGCCAUGUCCCAAGGCUACACAGAGCAGUGGGUCCCUGGGCCUGACCCACAAAAUCAUUUUUCCCUCUGUGGUGGUUAAAACUGACUGUCAACUUGAUUGAAGGAUGCAAAGUAUUGUUCUUGAGUGUGUCUGUAAGAAGAUUAACAUUUGAGUCAAUGGACUGGGAAAUGCAGGCCCAACCUCAAUCUGAGUGGGCAAAGAAGGCAGAAGAACGUGUGAGAAGCUGACUUGCUGGAUAUUCCAGCUUUCAUCUUUUUCCUGUGCUGGAUGCUUCUUGCCCUCAAAAGUCAGACUCCAAGUUCUUCAGCUCUUGGACUUAUACCACAGACUAAAAGCAGCACUCUCAGCUUCCUUACUUUUGAGGUUUUGGGACUCAAACUGGCUUCCUUGCACCUCAGCUUGCAGAUGACCUAUUGUGGAACUUCACCUUAUGAUCAUCUUUUCAAAAAACGUGAAACAGAAUACAGAAUAUUUUCAUCACCCAAGAAAUUUCCUGCUUUCCUGCUUUCAACUCCAUUCCCCAUUCAACCACAGGAUUGUUUUGGCUAUUUCAGAUCCUUUGCUUUUCCAACAGGUUUAGCAAAAGCAAAAAGUGGAAAAAUGCAGCAAUUUCCCAGGAAGUCAAGCCCUCCCAUUUCAGAGGCUGUUAACGCAAAGUUAUUUCUCAAUCCCUUCAGAGGAUGGUGA
ensembl:lncRNA